rnacentral:rRNA from 1 species
UACGUAGGGUGCAAGCGUUGUCCGGAAUUAUUGGGCGUAAAGAGCUCGUAGGUGGUUUGUCGCGUUGUUCGUGAAAACCUGAGGCUUAACCUUGGGCGUGCGGGCGAUACGGGCAGGCUGGAGUACUGCAGGGGAGACUGGAAUUCCUGGUGUAGCGGUGGAAUGCGCAGAUAUCAGGAGGAACACCGGUGGCGAAGGCGGGUCUCUGGGCAGUAACUGACGCUGAGGAGCGAAAGCGUGGGGAGCGAACAGG